CAUUACCUCAACAAACAGAGGGAAAGAAGGGAGCAGAGCAAAGGACAAGCAACAAACAGUGUGAGAAACAAAGCCAGCAAAAUUUGGCCUUUUACGAUAAUUACCAGAAAAACUUCCUGGUUCUGCCUUCAAAGACAGAGAAAAGGAAAGGAGAAGUGUGGGUGCCAGGGAAUACUGUUUGUGAAAAGGAGGCCUGUGAAUUGUGUAGUACUUUUGUGUCUUGACCACUGCAGAAGACUGAAAACUGACUAGAAUAAAGAGAAUCUGCAAAAUUUGACCUCA
ensembl:lncRNA